ACGUUCGGGUAAUCGCGGCAAUAUUUGCUGAGGAAAGUCCAUGCUCGCACGAUGCUGAGAUGCUCGUAGUGUUCGUGCCUAGCGAAUUCAUAAGCUAGGGCAGCCGGCGAAGCCGGUUGACGGCCGGGAAAAUACCUAAGUCCGUUGGGAUAUGGUAUGAAUACCUAUAAAAGUGCCACAGUGACGUAGCCUUUUCAGAAAUGGAAAGGGUGGAACGGGUAAACCCCACGAGCGAGAAACCCAAAUUAUGGUAGGGGCAUCUUCCCGGAGGAAUUGAACAAAGGGAAGGACAGAUGUAAAAAUCUGUAGAUAGAUGAUUACCGCCUUUGUACGAGAUCUAUGUCGUUUGUAGUACAGAGGAACAGAACAUGGCUUACAGAA
rnacentral:RNase_P_RNA from 2 species